GUAGGGAAUAUUGCGCAAUGGAGGCAACUCUGACGCAGCCAUGCCGCGUGCAGGAAGAAGGCGCUACGCGUUGUAAACUGCUUUUAACCGGGAAGAAACCCCAGGACGUGUCCUGGGUUGACGGUACCGGAGGAAUAAGCACCGGCUAACUUCGUGCCAGCAGCCGCGGUAAUACGAAGGGUGCAAGCGUUAUCCGGAUUCAUUGGGUUUAAAGGGUGCGUAGGCGGAGCGUUAAGUCAGUGGUGAAAUCCUGCAGCUUAACUGUAGACUUGCCAUUGAUACUGGCGCUCUUGAGUGCGCUUGAAGUGGGCGGAAUGUGCCGUGUAGCGGUGAAAUGCUUAGAUAUGGCACAGAACACCAAUUGCGAAGGCAGCUCACUAAGGCGAUACUGACGCUGAGGCACGAAAGCGUGGGGAUCGAACAGGAUUAGAAACCCGAGUAGUCC
rnacentral:rRNA from 1 species